rnacentral:misc_RNA from 1 species
GAUGAAGAACGUAGCGAAAUGCGAUACGUAAUGUGAAUUGCAAAUUCAGUGAAUCAUCGAGUCUUUGAACGCACAUUGCGCCCCCUGGUAUUCCGGGGGGCAUGCCUGUCCGAGCGUCAUUGCUGCCCUCAAGCACGGCUUGUGUGUUGGGCCCCGUCCUCCGAUCCCGGGGGACGGGCCCGAAAGGCAGCGGCGGCACCGCGUCCGGUCCUCGAGCGUAUGGGGCUUUGUCACCCGCUCUUGUAGGCCCGGCCGGCGCUUGCCGACACAUCAAUCUUUUUUCCAGGUUGACCUCGGAUCAGGUAGGGAUACCCGCUGAACUUAAGCAUAUCAAUAAGCGGAGGA